GAUGAACGCUGGCGGCGUGCCUAAUACAUGCAAGUCGAGCGAAGCGGGGACGGUUGAGUAAGACGUGGAUAACCUCCUUUAGUACUGUGACAACUUCGGGUAACCCGAGUUGAACCCGAUACUCCUGGAUUGAUCCGCGCUGCAUUAGCUAGGUGGUAAGGUAAUGGCUUACCAAGGCAACGAUGCAUAGCCGACUGGAGAGGGAGAUCGGCCACACGGGAACUGAGACAGGGUCCAGACUCCUACGGGAGGCAGCAGUAGGGAAUCUUCCGCGAUGGGCGAAAGCCUGACGGAGCAACGGCGCGUGAGUGAUGAAGGACUUCGGAUCGGAAAACUCUGUUAUUAGGGAAGCGGUACCUAAUCAGAAAGCCACGGCUAACUACGUGCCAGCAGCCGCGGUAAUAC
rnacentral:rRNA from 1 species